AUUGAACGCUGGCGGCAGGCCUAACACAUGCAAGUCGAACGAGUGGCGGACGGGUGAGUACUGUCUGGGAAACUGCCCGAUGGAGGGGGAUAACUACUGGAAACGGUGGCUAAUACCGCAUACCAUCGGAUGUGCACAGAUGGGAUUAGCUUGUAGGUGAGGUAACGGCUCACCUAGGCGACGAUCCCUAGCUGGUCUGAGAGGAUGACCAGCCACACGGGAACUGAGACACGGUCCAGACUCGUACGGGAGGCAGCAGUGGGGAAUAUGGGGCAAUGGGCGAAAGCCUGAUCCAGCCAUGCCGCGUGUGUGAAGAAGGUCUUCGGAUUGUAAAGCACUUUAAGUUGGGAGGCGGUACCCGCAGAAGAAGCACCGGCUAACUCCGUGCCAGCAGCCGCGGUAAUUC
rnacentral:rRNA from 1 species